AGAUGGCAUUACUAGGUUUAUUCUUGUUAUUUGUUAUAAACAUUAUUUUAUUUGGGAAAUUUACAACAAUUUAAAACAUAUUUUUGUCGUUAUUCAGCGAUUGCAGUCGUAUUGCGUAUGCAAUAUAAUUUAAAUUAUUUGUCGUCAAUUGACGGAUCAAUUGUUUCAUUUAAUUAAGUAUUAGUCUGACUUCUGAGCAAACGUACCAGUUUUUUAUAAUUUGAAUAUUGUCACUAGUGGAAAUUUUUCCACAAGACGAAAUAGGGUUGAACAUAAACCCUAUUUCCCGAUUUUCUUAUUUCGAUAUAAAAAAAUAUCGAAAGUAACGGUCAGAAGUCAGAACUACUAUCUCCCAGUCAGGAGCCUACAUUAUUGCCAUCUAUUAGCAUCCCUCCAAUCUGGAUGUACAUCUUUUAU